CAGUAGCCGCGGUAAUACAGAGGGUGCGAGCGUUAAUCGGAUUUACUGGGCGUAAAGCGUGCGUAGGCGGUUUGUUAAGUCAGAUGUGAAAUCCCCGAGCUUAACUUGGGAACUGCAUUUGAAACUGGCAAGCUAGAGUCUUGUAGAGGGGGGUAGAAUUCCAGGUGUAGCGGUGAAAUGCGUAGAGAUCUGGAGGAAUACCGGUGGCGAAGGCGGCCCCCUGGACAAAGACUGACGCUCAGGUGCGAAAGCGUGGGGAGCAAACAGGAUUAGAUACCCCGGUAGUCCCUGUCUUUUAUAC
rnacentral:rRNA from 1 species